rnacentral:rRNA from 1 species
UACGUAGGUGGCAAGCGUUGUCCGGAUUUAUUGGGCGUAAAGCGCGCGCAGGUGGUUUCUUAAGUCUGAUGUGAAAGCCCACGGCUCAACCGUGGAAGGUCAUUGGAAACUGGGGAACUUGAGUGCAGAAGAGGAAAGUGGAAUUCCAAGUGUAGCGGUGAAAUGCGUAGAUAUUUGGAGGAACACCAGUGGCGAAGGCGACUUUCUGGUCUGUAACUGACACUGAGGCGCGAAAGCGUGGGGAGCAAAC